rnacentral:rRNA from 1 species
UACGGAGGGAGCUAGCGUUGUUCGGAAUUACUGGGCGUAAAGCGUACGUAGGCGGUUAUUCAAGUCAGAGGUGAAAGCCCGGGGCUCAACCCCGGAACUGCCUUUGAAACUAGGUAGCUAGAAUCUUGGAGAGGUCAGUGGAAUUCCGAGUGUAGAGGUGAAAUUCGUAGAUAUUCGGAAGAACACCAGUGGCGAAGGCGACUGACUGGACAAGUAUUGACGCUGAGGUACGAAAGCGUGGGGAGCAAACCGG